GUCCUUUUGAUUAAUUUAAGGUCUAACCUGCCCAAUGAAAAAUUUAAAUGGCCGCAGUAUUUUGACUGUGCAAAGGUAGCAUAAUCAUUAGUUUUUUAAUUGAAAGCUUGUAUGAAGGGUUGGACGAGAUAAAAACUGUCUUAAAUUAAUUUAAAUUAGAAUUUAAUUUUUAAGUUAAAAAGCUUAAAUAAAAUUAAAAGACGAGAAGACCCUAUAGAUCUUUAUAAUUUUUAAUUUAAUUAAAUUUUAGAUUUAAUUAUUAUUUAAAUUAAUUAAUUAUUUUAUUGGGGUAAUGUAAAGAUUAAAAUAAUUCUUUUUUUAUUAAAACAUAAAUUAAUGGUUAAUUGAUCCAGUAUUAUUGAUUAUAAGAUUAAGUUACCUUAGGGAUAACAGCGUAAUUUUUUUAAAGAGUUCAUAUCGAUAAAAAAGUUUGCGACCUCGAUGUUGGAUUAAAAAUUAUCUUAGGUGCAGAAGUUUGAGAUUUUGGUCUGUUCGACCAUUAAAUUUUU
rnacentral:rRNA from 1 species